rnacentral:rRNA from 1 species
CGAGCCUACGGGACGCAGCAGUGAGGAAUAUUGGUCAAUGGGCGGUAGCCUGAACCAGCCAAGUAGCGUGAAGGAUGAAGGUUCUAUGGAUUGUAAACUUCUUUUAUAAAGGAAUAAAGUGAGGCACGUGUGCCUUUUUGUAUGUACUUUAUGAAUAAGGAUCGGCUACCUCCGUGCCAGCAGCCGCGGUAAUACGUAGGAUCCGAGCGUUAUCCGGGUUUAUUGGGUUUAAAGGGAGCGUAGAUGGGUUGUUAAGUCAGUUGUGAAAGUUUGGGGCUCAACCGUAGAAUUGCAAUUGAUACUGG